UCCAGCAAGGGCAGAAGGUCAUCCUGGCCCCAGGAAUGUGGCCAAACCUUAGUCUCAUGAGAAAUGGGAAAGUAUGGAGAAAAUAUGGACUAGGGUAGAUAAGCCAUCUUUAUAAGUACAGCCACCAUUGGCACCAUGCAAUAUAGGCCCACAUAGCUUUGGGACUGGUAGUUGAAGUUCUGAGUGGGAGAUCAGGAAGGAACUGUCCAAACCCCUAAUGGAGUCUAACUGAGGGAGAAAGCCCACCCAGGAGGAAGCAGGAGGCCAGCAGCAGGACUCUAUAGCUCCCACCCUAUUCACAGAGCCUGGUGGAUAUCUUCUGACCAUAGCACUUUAUAGACAACCCAGUAGAAGAUAUUGAAGAUGAGGAAAGUGAAAGGGAAGACAGCCCGGGAGAUGGUGUCAAUUCUCUUGGCUCAGUCCACGUAGAGUUUCCGCGUGGUUUCUCCUUCCCUUAGAAGAGGGGCUGGAGGUUGGGGACUAUAAAUGCCAGAACCUUCCAUUGGACCUCCAUCUCUUGCCUGCAGGCAGUGGCCCAAGCCAUAGCCACGGAAAUAGAAACGACUUUCUUGGAUGAUAUCUUCCUCCUGGAAUUACAAGGAAGAAACGGCAGAAUUUGAGGUCAAAGCUCAAAGGCAGAGGGAUAGAGAACAGACCACCCAUCAAUAUCUCAUAGGGAAUGUUAUGCAGACAAGGUGCCUUGGGUACACAGGCCCAUUGCAUGCUUUUUAUGGUCACAACACUACUCAUGAGAUAGAUGUAUGCUAAGCAG
rnacentral:lncRNA from 1 species